rnacentral:rRNA from 1 species
UGGGGAAUAUUGCACAAUGGGGGAAACCCUGAUGCAGCGACGCCGCGUGAAGGAAGAAGUAUUUCGGUAUGUAAACUUCUAUCAGCAAGGAAGAUAAUGACGGUACUUGACUAAGAAGCCCCGGCUAACUACGUGCCAGCAGCCGCGGUAAUACGUAGGGGGCAAGCGUUAUUCGGAUUUACUGGGUGUAAAGGGAGCGUAGGUGGCAUGGCAAGUCAGAUGUGGAAGCCCGGGGCUCAACCCCGGGACUGCAUUUGAAACUGCCAGGCUGGAGUGCAGGAGAGGUAAGUGGAAUUCCUAGUGUAGCGGUGAAGUGCGUAGAUAUUAGGAGGAACACCAGUGGCGAAGGCGGCUUACUGGACUGUAACUGACACUGAGGCUCGAAAGCGUGGGGAGCAAACAG